rnacentral:lncRNA from 1 species
GGCAGCAGAAGUGGGGCCCAGUGCAGAGGCUGGCCAGAGGCUCAAAGCCGACCUGGACGUCUCUGUGGGCCUCAAGCCUCCUUGGCCCUGUCUCUGCCUCCAUUUCCUGCCUCCAUUGGCCUCUGGCCUCUGACUGUGGUGGGCCUCUUUGGGCCUCCUUCCAGGAGGAUCAUUUUCCCUCAGCCUAGACCCCAUCUCCUCUCCUGGGAGCCCCUUGUGGCCCUUCCUACAAGGACUGUGACAUUUUAGUCUGAUGGCAAAACAUUUCCUGUGCGAAGCUGUCCAGGGCCCCAGGAGGUAGUGGGCCAUGGGGAAGGAAAUGAGGGGGUCAAUAUGGCGGAACUUCCUGUGGCCACGGAGCCCUCAGUGAGGCCUCUGAGUCCACGAGGCUACUCAGGCUGCACAGUGUGGGGUGAGGGGGCCCAGGGACACAGGACGAGCUGUGGCAUUGAGAGGAUUUCUGCUUAGUUUCUAUAAUGUGGAUUUUAGGGUUUCAAAACCACAUCUGACCCUCAUUUAACUUUUUUUGGGGGGGAAGGAGAUACUAGGGAUUUAAUCCAGGGGUGCUGGGGUGCUCUACCACUGAGCCACAACCCCAGCUCAUCACCACCCCCACUUUGUUUGAGGUAGGG